CUUUACUAUAGCUUGACACUGAACAUUGAGCCUUGAUGUGUAGGAUAGGUGGGAGGCUUUGAAGUGUGGACGCCAGUCUGCAUGGAGCCGACCUUGAAAUACCACCCUUUAAUGUUUGAUGUUCUAACGUUGGCCCCUAAUCGGGGUUGCGGACAGUGUCUGGUGGGUAGUUUGACUGGGGCGGUCUCCUCCUAAAGAGUAACGGAGGAGCACGAAGGUUGGCUAAUCCUGGUCGGACAUCAGGAGGUUAGUGCAAUGGCAUAAGCCAGCUUGACUGCGAGCGUGACGGCGCGAGCAGGUGCGAAAGCAGGUCAUAGUGAUCCGGUGGUUCUGAAUGGAAGGGCCAUCGCUCAACGGAUAAAAGGUACUCCGGGGAUAACAGGCUGAUACCGCCCAAGAGUUCAUAUCGACGGCGGUGUUUGGCACCUCGAUGUCGGCUCAUCACAUCCUGGGGCUGAAGUAGGUCCCAAGGGUAUGGCUGUUCGCCAUUUAAAGUGGUACGCGAGCUGGGUUUAGAACGUCGUGAGACAGUUCGGUCCCUAUCUGCCGUGGGCGCUGGAGAACUGAGGGGGGCUGCUCCUAGUACGAGAGGACCGGAGUGGACGCAUCACUGGUGUUCGGGUUGUCAUGCCAAUGGCACUGCCCGGUAGCUAAAUGCGGAAGAGAUAAGUGCUGAAAGCAUCUAAGCACGAAACUUGCC
rnacentral:rRNA from 1 species